AGCGAACGCCGGCGGCAGGCCUAACACAUGCAAGUCGAACGAACCCUUCGGGGUUAGUGGCGGACGGGUGAGUAACACGUGGGAACGUGCCUUUAGGUUCGGAAUAACUCAGGGAAACUUGUGCUAAUACCGAAUGUGCCCUUCGGGGGAAAGAUUUAUCGCCUUUAGAGCGGCCCGCGUCUGAUUAGCUAGUUGGUGAGGUAAUGGCUCACCAAGGCUACGAUCAGUAGCUGGUCUGAGAGGAUGACCAGACACAUUGGGACUGAGACACGGCCCAAACUCCUACGGGAGGCAGCAGUGGGGAAUCUUGCGCAAUGGGCGAAAGCCUGACGCAGCCAUGCCGCGUGGAUGAUGAAGGUCUUAGGAUUGUAAAAUCCUUUCACCGGUGAAGAUAAUGACUGUAGCCGGAGAAGAAGCCCCGGCUAACUUCGUGCCAGCAGCCGCCGUAAUAC
rnacentral:rRNA from 1 species